AAAAAGACAGUGAUGGGAAGAGUAAGUGUAAAAGGUAAUUAUAGCGAGUCGAUGAUGGUGAAAGAUUGAUAUGAAUUUUAUACUGAAGAACAUCCCUGAGUCUCUAACCGAAAUCAAUAUAUUGAGAGUAGGCUUAGACGAAACCAGAUCGUUAAAGCUGGGAGUAUUGUUAGAUACUUUUAAAGAGGAGAGCCUUUUAUAGGCUAACCAGGGUGGUACCGCGAGAGUUUAAGCUUUUCGUCCCUUAG
rnacentral:ncRNA from 1 species